UACACCCGAAACGAGAAACAAAUUAUUCUCGAUCGGUUGGCUGCUGGCUACAACUACUCGGCUGAUUCCGUCGAGCACAUACGCUUCUCUCUCUCUCCUCUCUCUCUCUCUCUCUCUCUCUCUCUCUCUCUCUCUCUCGCCUCUCUCUCUCUCUCUGCACGCGCCGACGCCAUGGACAAACCUCCGGCGGCAGCAGCGGCCAACAAGGUUGGCAAUCCUCCGGCGGCUGUGGUGUUCUUGUUUCACAGCUGAAGGUGGUGGUGAUAGCUCCUGCAGCGACUGUGGUCGUCAAUCCACCAGCGAACAACGUGGCCGUCAAUCCACCAGCAGAGGCGGCGUCAGCGUGUGGCGCUGCGGAAGUUCUGCUGCUGCUUGUUCCCUUCUCCAUUUUGGUGAUCGGCCUGCCUCUGCUGCUGAACUGGUACCUCCAAAACUAGAGAAACUAUGUCACGUCUGGAGUAAGACUGCAGGAGUGCGCCACACCCGAUGAGGACGACGGUAAAUAAGGUGGCGCGAGCGCAAGUGUGUGUUAAGUUAUCGUGUGUGGCCUGCGUGCCACCUGUGUGGGGCUUAUAAGCUGUGUGCUGUACUAGAAUCAAGUCUGAAGAUAAGAGUAAACUGAACUCUACUCCUACCUCUCGUCUAUGUCUUCAUCUUCUUCUUCUCUCCCAAAGUCAGGCAUAGUGAACCACACGUACGUCGGCAAUCACACCGGCAAGGGGACGUGACAGUUGGUAUCGACCGAGGGGCUGUGAGGUACAGGGGGCUGAUUCCCGAUUCUCGUGAGCUUGAGCUGUAAAAUCCCGACCAACAAUUUGAGGAUCGAGCGGUCGAUUUCAUCGGAAACACAUGAAGGCCUUACUGUCACUCAAGCAACGUAGCGCCGUUGAAGAGCAUCAGCAGCAGUUCGAGGAGCUUUUGUAUCAGAUUUCAGAGCACAACGCGUAUAACGAACACCAAUUCUUUGUAUCC